rnacentral:tRNA from 1 species
AGAAAUUUAGGAUAGUAUAAACCAGGGGCCUUCAAAGCUCAAAACAUGGACCAACCUCCAUAAUUUCU